rnacentral:rRNA from 1 species
AGAGAUGUGUGAUGACGCAUAUCAAUAAGCGGAGGAAAAGAAACUAACAAGGAUUCCCUUAGUAACGGCGAGUGAGGCGGGAAGAGCUCAAAUUUGAAAUCUUCAAGGUUCUACCUUGACGAGUUGUAGUUUAUAGAAGUGUUUUCUGUUAGUAGAGUGGCAAAAGUUCUUUGGAAUAGGACAUCAUAGAGGGUGAGAAUCCCGUAUUUGGUCAUUCUUUCUAGCUUUGUGAUACACUUUCAACGAGUCGGAUUGUUUGGGAAUGCAGUCCAAAAUGGGUGGUAAAUUUCAUCUAAAGCUAAAUAUUGGCGAGAGACCGAUAGCGAACAAGUACCGUGAGGGGAAAGAUGAAAAGAACUUUGAAAAGAGAGUUAAACAGUACGUGAAAUUGUCAAAAGGGAAGCGUUUGACACCAGUGUUGUUUUUCCGAAAAUCAAUUACGAAUGUUUUAGUUUUUGAGAAGUUAUGACUUCAUCGGCUUGCUUCUCUCUUUACUGAAACUUUCUUAAUGCACUUUUCGGUUAACAAGUCAACAUCAAUUUCUUUUGUUGUAAAAGGGUAUGAGGAACGGUGGCUUUCUUUUCGGAGAAAGUGUUUAUAGCCUUGUAGCCUCUGCAAUCGGAGAGAUUGAGGUCUGCAGCGUAGAUCCUUCGGGGUUAGAUACAUUUGUGCUAAGUUAUAGCUUUUCAUAGACAACUUGUUGACUAUGUUUAGUCUUGUAGCUUACUCGCUUAUGCUAUUUUACCUACGCUUAGGAUGUUGAAGUCAUCGUAUCGCGC